ACUAACAAGGAUUCCCCUAGUAACUGCGAGUGAAGCGGGAAAAGCUCAAAUUUAAAAUCUGGCGGUCCUUGUGGCUGUCCGAGUUGUAAUCUAGAGAAGUGUUAUCCGCGCUGGACCGUGUACAAGUCUCCUGGAAUGGAGCGUCAUAGAGGGUGAGAAUCCCGUCUUUGACACGGACUGCCAGGGCUUAUGUGAUGCGCUCUCAAAGAGUCGAGUUGUUUGGGAAUGCAGCUCAAAAUGGGUGGUAAAUUCCAUCUAAAGCUAAAUAUUGGCGAGAGACCGAUAGCGAACAAGUACCGUGAGGGAAAGAUGAAAAGAACUUUGGAAAGAGAGUUAAACAGUACGUGAAAUUGUUGAAAGGGAAACGCUUGAAGUCAGUCGCGUUGGCCAGGGAUCAACCUUGCUUUUGCAGGGCGUACUUUCUGGUCGACGGGUCAGCAUCAAUUUUGACCGUUGGAUAAAGGUUAGGGGAAUGUGGCAUCCUCGGAUGUGUUAUAGCCCUUGGUCGCAUACAACGGUUGGGAUUGAGGAACUCAGCACGCCGCAAGGCCGGGUUUUUAACCACGUACGUGCUUAGGAUGCUGGCAUAAUGGCUUUAAUCGACCCGUCUAUGAACACGGACCAAGGAGUCUGACAUGCCUGCGAGUGUUUGGGUGAGUACACCGCGAGACGCGUAAUGAAAGUGAGAAGUUGAGAUUCCCCUGUUCGUGGGGGGAGGGCAUUUCGAAACGCCCCCUAGGUACCCCAUGAACCCCUUUGUUUGUUGAACCUGGGUUUUCUUGUCGGGUUAGGAGGGCAAUGUUAAUGUUUGGGGACCCGGAUAAUGAUGGUGAAUCAUAUGCGCUGAAUAGGGUGAAAGCCAGAGGAAACUCUGGUGGAGGUCUCGUAGCGAUUCUGAUCGUGCAAAUGCGAUCGUCGAAAUGUUGCGGUAUAGGGGCGAGAUAGACUAAUCGAACCAUACUAGUAGAUGGUUCCUGCCUGAAGUUUCCCUCAGAGAUAGCUAGAAAGCUCAUUAUCAGAUUUAUGUGGUAAAGCAGAUAUGAUUAGAGGCCUUGGGGUGUGAAACAACCUUAACCUAUUCUCAAACUUUAAAUAUGUAGAGAACGAGCCGUACUCCUUGAUUGGACCGCUCGGCGAGUUGAGA
rnacentral:rRNA from 1 species